UAUGCUAGUGGAAACAUCAUAUAAGUAUAACUGCAGCAGAAGUUUAUUCUUCCUACCGCUCUCAGAGUAGCACUUCCAUUGUCAAAAGCAAUCCUCAGCCAAAAGCUAUAUUUUCUGAAAAACGACUCUUGGAUAUCACCUUGUCGUGGGAAACAGCAGAUUACCACCCUCCAGCUAAUAACAACUCUCCACCAAUCAAGGCCUCAACGAAAAAGACCACCUUUAGCAUUCACUCCGCAUUACUCCCGGCAGAGACGGGUGUCUUAUCCUACUAACACCCCACUCGUGGCCUGCACCUGAAUGUGGUUGACAGGCCUCAGUGGACAGUGAGACAGUGAUCUACCUUUGGACUGGCACCGACCAGAAAUGGACACUGAAACUUGAUUUCUCAUGAAUAUCUUUACAAGAUGCAACACACAUUG